rnacentral:rRNA from 1 species
GAGGAAUAUUGGACAAUGGGCGAAAGCCUGAUCCAGCCAUGCCGCGUGAGUGAUGAAGGCCUUAGGGUUGUAAAGCUCUUUCGGCGCAGAAUAUAAUGAAUGUAUGCGCAUAAGAAGCCCCGGCUAAAUUCGUGCCAGCAGCCGCGGUAAUACGAAUGGGGCAAGCGUUGUUCGGAAUCACUGGGCGUAAAGAGUGCGUAGGCGGUAGAGCAAGUCAGAAGUGAAAGCCCCGGGCUUAACCCGGGAACUGCUUUUGAAACUGCUUUACUAGAGUCUUGGAGAGGUUAGCAGAAUUCCGAGUGUAGAGGUGAAAUUCGCAGAUAUUCGGAGGAAUACCAAUGGCGUAGGCAGCUAACCGGACAAGUACUGACGCUGAGGCACGAAAGCGUGGGGAUCAAAC